AGGACGAACGCUGGCGGCGUGCUUAACACAUGCAAGUCGAGCGGAAAGGCCCUUUCGGGGGUACUCGAGCGGCGAACGGGUGAGUAACACGUGAGUAACCUGCCCUGGACUUUGGGAUAACCCUCGGAAACGGGGGCUAAUACCGGAUAUGACUUGCCUCUGCAUGGGGGUGGGUGGAAAGUUUUUCGGUCUGGGAUGGGCUCGCGGCCUAUCAGCUUGUUGGUGGGGUGAUGGCCUACCAAGGCGACGACGGGUAG
rnacentral:rRNA from 1 species